UGUGUCUUUUAGAUAUAUGCAGAGAGAUUGAAAAUCAUUGUUUUGUUUGUGUACUUUUUUAUCCUAUCCUUUUUAUAUUAUGGAUCUGUUAGCCUUGUAAUAUCUUAAUAAUGUUUCUUCUUUUACAACCCCCCAAUAAAUAAAAAUCCUGGAAUUGUUUUAUAUGAAGUUGAUGCUGUUGCUACUAUAUCACAUAUUUAUUACUGUAUCUCAUUUUCUGCCAUCAUCUGAUUACUCAGUUAGAGAAUGGGCUUGUGGAGGCAGUUGCUGUUCUUAUUUCCAAAAUGCUCCGCCUAUGUCAUGAAUCUACCAAUGGAAAAUUAGGUGAACUCUUUAAAUCCAAGCCUGACUUCAUCAAGGUAAAGUUUGCAAUCCAAUACAUGCGAAGAGCAAUUCUAAAGCUUUUGGGUUGCACUGAAGAAAAUCUAGAAGGGAAAGGGUGCUGCCUAAUUGUUCUAUUCUCAUACUUGGAUUUUGGAUGAGAUGGAAUGAGUCUUAUAAUGACUUUAGUUAUCUACAUGUAAUAUUUUGAUGUCUUGUGUACUUUUUGAAACGAGAUUUUACGGGUUAUUACAUGAAAUCGAUAUUUACACUAUUUUUAUUUGUGUUGUUUGGACUAAACAUAUCUAGAUUAUAAUAAAAUUUUUAUGAUUUAGAUUU